rnacentral:lncRNA from 1 species
UGCCGUCGGUUGUGGUGCAAGAGAAGUGUUCCAGCACGCUCAUUUCAAAGAACAUCCCUGGUCUUUCCUCACGAGCAACCAUCUCACGCACGGUCGUCCUGCCGCGUCCUCUAUGCAACAAGCAAGCUUCCUCAUACUCGUGAGCGCGUCGCACGUCUCCGCCAUGGCGGUGUCCUGCACUGUGUUGACGGCGUGUUCAGGCUCUGAAGGACUGCGUGUCGUCACCAUCCCGCGAGAGUCCAUCGGAUGUGCUCCUACAGUUCGCUGUUGCCUUUUUCCACAGGCAUAUUCAACAAGUUUAGCGUAGUAAGGGGGGGCUUUUCUGCUUUGGAAUAAGGGUACGUUGCUCUGCUAAUCGACGGAGCUUCUAGGAAUCGGGUUAAUAUGAAACAGAACAGUAAGAAAAAGUUCUCGUUACGUGGACACCACUGUCCCUAAGGGAUGUCAAUGUUUUCAUGAGCCGAUCUGUAAAUCUUUGGUGGCGAGAGUAAUGGACGCUCGUUGACAUUGUGCACUUUUAUAGUGGCAACUUGGUGUGUGUGUGUGCGUGUGUGUUGGUCUUCGUACACGUGUCGCCCACUCAGUGCUCCAUUUUUUUUUCGAUCGAGAACGCAUGAUACUUGCUCCACUGCUUGCUGGCGCAAAUAUUUCUUUAUGUUGGUAUCAUUUCCAGCGUCACAGUUCCUUCUUUUCCCGGUUUAUUCCUGUUGAGAGGUUCCUGGUUUGAUGGUUUACUGUCGUCUAUGGACAUCCGCUUUUGGAUUGGUCAAACCGCUGGUUUCUUUGACUUUGAUCCUUAGGUUAACCUCUGUGCUCGUUUCAGCAUUCAGCGCAUUCACGGUCGUUCCUGGUUUGAUGGUUUACUAUCGUCUAUGGAUAUCCGCUUUUUGGUUAGUCGAACCGCUGUUUCUUUGGCUUUUAUCCUUGAAUUGACCUCUGUGCUCGUUUCAGCAUUCAGCGCAUGCACGGUCGUUCCUGGUUUGAUUGUUUACUAUCGUCUAUGGACAUCCGCUUUUGGACUGGUCGAGCCGCUGGUUUCUUUGGCUGUGGUCCUUGGGUUGACCUCUGUGCUCGUUUCAGCAUUCAGCGCAUGCACGGUUGUUCCUGGAGGUUCCUGGUUUGGUGGUUUACUAUCGUCUAUGGACAUCCGCGUUUGGAUUGGUCGAACCGCUGGCUUCUUUGGCUUUGAUCCUUGGAUUGACCUCUGUGCUCGUUUCAGCAUUCAGCGCAUG